AUUGAAUGCUGGCGGCAUGCCUUACACAUGCAAGUCGAACGGCAGCACGGGUGCUUGCACCUGGUGGCGAGUGGCGAACGGGUGAGUAAUACAUCGGAACAUGUCCUGUAGUGGGGGAUAGCCCGGCGAAAGCCGGAUUAAUACCGCAUACGAUCUACGGAUGAAAGCGGGGGACCUUCGGGCCUCGCGCUAUAGGGUUGGCCGAUGGCUGAUUAGCUAGUUGGUGGGGUAAAGGCCUACCAAGGCGACGAUCAGUAGCUGGUCUGAGAGGACGACCAGCCACACUGGGACUGAGACACGGCCCAGACUCCGACGGGAGGCAGCAGUGGGGAAUUUUGGACAAUGGGCGAAAGCCUGAUCCAGCAAUGCCGCGUGUGUGAAGAAGGCCUUCGGGUUGUAAAGCACUUUUGUCCGGAAAGAAAUCCUUGGCCCUAAUACGGUCGGGGGAUGACGGUACCGGAAGAAUAAGCACCGGCUAACUACGU
rnacentral:rRNA from 1 species